rnacentral:rRNA from 1 species
UUUGUAGAAUGAACCGGCGAGUUACGAUUUGAUGCAAGGUUAAGCAGUAAAUGUGGAGCCGUAGCGAAAGCGAGUCUGAAUAGGGCGUUUAGUAUUUGGUCGUAGACCCGAAACCAGGUGAUCUACCCUUGGUCAGGUUGAAGUUCAGGUAACACUGAAUGGAGGACCGAACCGACUUACGUUGAAAAGUGAGCGGAUGAACUGAGGGUAGCGGAGAAAUUCCAAUCGAACCUGGAGAUAGCUGGUUCUCUCCGAAAUAGCUUUAGGGCUAGCCUCAAGUGAUGAUUAUUGGAGGUAGAGCACUGUUUGGACGAGGGGCCCCUCUCGGGUUACCGAAUUCAGACAAACUCCGAAUGCCAAUUAAUUUAACUUGGGAGUCAGAACAUGGGUGAUAAGGUCCGUGUUCGAAAGGGAAACAGCCCAGACCACCAGCUAAGGUCCCAAAAUAUAUGUUAAGUGGAAAAGGAUGUGGCGUUGCCCAGACAACUAGGAUGUUGGCUUAGAAGCAGCCAUCAUUUAAAGAGUGCGUAAUAGCUCACUAGUCGAGUGACACUGCGCCGAAAAUGUACCGGGGCUAAACAUAUUACCGAAGCUGUGGAUUGUCCUUUGGACAAUGGUAGGAGAGCGUUCUAAGGGCGUUGAAGCAUGAUCGUAAGGACAUGUGGAGCGCUUAGAAGUGAGAAUGCCGGUGUGAGUAGCGAAAGACGGGUGAGAAUCCCGUCCACCGAUUGACUAAGGUUUCCAGAGGAAGGCUCGUCCGCUCUGGGUUAGUCGGGUCCUAAGCUGAGGCCGACAGGCGUAGGCGAUGGAUAACAGGUUGAUAUUCCUGUACCACCUAUAAUCGUUUUAAUCGAUGGGGGGACGCAGUAGGAUAGGCGAAGCGUGCGAUUGGAUUGCACGUCUAAGCAGUAAGGCUGAGUAUUAGGCAAAUCCGGUACUCGUUAAGGCUGAGCUGUGAUGGGGAGAAGACAUUGUGUCUUCGAGUCGUUGAUUUCACACUGCCGAGAAAAGCCUCUAGAUAGAAAAUAGGUGCCCGUACCGCAAACCGACACAGGUAGUCAAGAUGAGAAUUCUAAGGUGAGCGAGCGAACUCUCGUUAAGGAACUCGGCAAAAUGACCCCGUAACUUCGGGAGAAGGGGUGCUCUUUAGGGUUAACGCCCAGAAGAGCCGCAGUGAAUAGGCCCAAGCGACUGUUUAUCAAAAACACAGGUCUCUGCUAAACCGUAAGGUGAUGUAUAGGGGCUGACGCCUGCCCGGUGCUGGAAGGUUAAGAGGAGUGGUUAGCUUCUGCGAAGCUACGAAUCGAAGCCCCAGUAAACGGCGGCCGUAACUAUAACGGUCCUAAGGUAGCGAAAUUCCUUGUCGGGUAAGUUCCGACCCGCACGAAAGGCGUAACGAUUUGGGCACUGUCUCAACGAGAGACUCGGUGAAAUCAUAGUACCUGUGAAGAUGCAGGUUACCCGCGACAGGACGGAAAGACCCCGUGGAGCUUUACUGUAGCCUGAUAUUGAAAUUCGGCACAGCUUGUACAGGAUAGGUAGGAGCCUUUGAAACGUGAGCGCUAGCUUACGUGGAGGCGCUGGUGGGAUACUACCCUAGCUGUGUUGGCUUUCUAACCCGCACCACUUAUCGUGGUGGGAGACAGUGUCAGGCGGGCAGUUUGACUGGGGCGGUCGCCUCCUAAAAGGUAACGGAGGCGCUCAAAGGUUCCCUCAGAAUGGUUGGAAAUCAUUCAUAGAGUGUAAAGGCAUAAGGGAGCUUGACUGCGAGACCUACAAGUCGAGCAGGGUCGAAAGACGGACUUAGUGAUCCGGUGGUUCCGCAUGGAAGGGCCAUCGCUCAACGGAUAAAAGCUACCCCGGGGAUAACAGGCUUAUCUCCCCCAAGAGUUCACAUCGACGGGGAGGUUUGGCACCUCGAUGUCGGCUCAUCGCAUCCUGGGGCUGUAGUCGGUCCCAAGGGUUGGGCUGUUCGCCCAUUAAAGCGGUACGCGAGCUGGGUUCAGAACGUCGU